ACUCCUACGGGAGGCAGCAGUGGGGAAUAUUGGACAAUGGGCGCAAGCCUGAUCCAGCAAUGCCGCGUGAGUGAGGAAGGCCUUAGGGUUGUAAAGCUCUUUCACCCGCGACGAUGAUGACGGUACCGGAAGAAUAAGCACCGGCUAACUACGUGCCAGCAGCCGCGGUAAUACGUAGGGUGCAAGCGUUAAUCGGAAUUAUUGGGCGUAAAGCGCGCGCAGGCGGCUUCCUAAGUCUGUCGGUCAAACGCCGGGGCUCAACCCCGAGCUCGCCGGAGAUACUGGGAGGCUGGAGACAGGUAGAGGCAAGCGGAAUUCCGGGUGUAGCGGUGGAAUGCGUAGAGAUCCGGAAGAACACCAGUGGCGAAGGCGGCCAUCUGGCCUGGAAUUGACGCUGAGGCGCGAAAGCGUGGGGAGCAAACAGGAUUAGAUACCCUGGUAGUCCACGCCCUAAACGAUGUCGACUGGGUGUUGGGGAAGCGAUUUCCCAGUACCGUAGCUAACGCGUGAAGUCGACCGCCUGGGGAGUACGGCCGCAAGGUUAAAACUUAAAGGAAUUGACGGGAC
rnacentral:rRNA from 1 species